rnacentral:rRNA from 1 species
CCUACGGGGGCAGCAGUGGGGAAUAUUGGACAAUGGGGGGAACCCUGAUCCAGCCAUGCCGCGUGUGUGAAGAAGGCCCUCGGGUUGUAAAGCACUUUCAGUGAGGAAGAACGCCUGGUGGUUAAUACCCAUCAGGAAAGACAUCACUCACAGAAGAAGCACCGGCUAACUCCGUGCCAGCAGCCGCGGUAAUACGGAGGGUGCGAGCGUUAAUCGGAAUUACUGGGCGUAAAGCGCGCGUAGGUGGCUUGAUAAGCCGGUUGUGAAAGCCCCGGGCUCAACCUGGGAACGGCAUCCGGAACUGUCAAGCUAGAGUGCAGGAGAGGAAGGUAGAAUUCCCGGUGUAGCGGUGAAAUGCGUAGAGAUCGGGAGGAAUACCAGUGGCGAAGGCGGCCUUCUGGACUGACACUGACACUGAGGUGCGAAAGCGUGGGUAGCAAACAGGAUUAGAUACCCCGGUAGUC